rnacentral:rRNA from 1 species
GAUGAACGCUGGCGGCGUGCCUAAUACAUGCAAGUCGAGCGAACGGACGAGAAGCUUGCUUCUCUGAUGUUAGCGGCGGACGGGUGAGUAACACGUGGAUAACCUACCUAUAAGACUGGGAUAACUUCGGGAAACCGGAGCUAAUACCGGAUGAUAUUUUGAACCGCAUGGUUCAAAAGUGAAAGACGGUCUUGCUGUCACUUAUAGAUGGAUCCGCGCUGCAUUAGCUAGUUGGUAAGGUAACGGCUUACCAAGGCAACGAUGCAUAGCCGACCUGAGAGGGUGAUCGGCCACACUGGAACUGAGACACGGUCCAGACUCCUACGGGAGUCAGCAGUAGGGAAUCUUCCGCAAUGGGCGAAAGCCUGACGGAGCAACGCCGCGUGAGUGAUGAAGGUCUUCGGAUCGUAAAACUCUGUUAUUAGGGAAGAGCAUAUGUGUAAGUAACUGUGCACAUCUUGACGGUACCUAAUCAGAAAGCCACGGCUAACUACGUG